rnacentral:lncRNA from 1 species
CGGCCGCGCUCACGCCCUUCACCGUGACCCGGCGCAUUGGCCACCCCUACCAGAACCGGACGCCGCCCAAGCGUAAGAAGCCGCGCACAUCCUUUUCCCGGGUGCAGAUCUGUGAGCUGGAAAAGCGCUUCCAUCGCCAAAAGUACCUGGCCUCGGCCGAGAGGGCGGCGCUCGCAAAGUCCCUCAAAAUGACGGACGCGCAGGCGGCAGACGGCGGAGGAGCGGGAGGCGGAGCGGCAGCAGGCGAGCCGGCUCAUGCUGCAGCUGCAACACGACGCCUUCCAGAAGAGCCUCAACGACUCCAUCCAGCCCGACCCGCUCUGUCUGCACAACUCGUCGCUCUUUGCUCUGCAGAAUCUGCAGCCCUG